GCGUUGGCGGUGCAGUGGUAGAAUUCUCGCCUGCCACGCGGGAGACCGGGGUUCGAUUCCCCGCCCACGCA
rnacentral:tRNA from 1 species